rnacentral:tRNA from 1 species
UCCCCUGUAGCUCAAUGGUAGAGCAUUCGCCUGUUAAGCGAGUGGUUUCAGGUCCGAAUCCUGACGGGGGAGCCA